rnacentral:rRNA from 1 species
AAAUUGAAGAGUUUGAUCAUGGCUCAGAUUGAACGCUGGCGGCAGGCCUAACACAUGCAAGUCGAACGGUAACAGGAAGCAGCUUGCUGCUUCGCUGACGAGUGGCGGACGGGUGAGUAAUGUCUGGGAAACUGCCUGAUGGAGGGGGAUAACUACUGGAAACGGUAGCUAAUACCGCAUAAUGUCGCAAGACCAAAGAGGGGGACCUUCGGGCCUCUUACCAUCGGAUGUGCCCAGAUGGGAUUAGCUUGUUGGUGGGGUAACGGCUCACCAAGGCGACGAUCCCUAGCUGGUCUGAGAGGAUGACCAGCCACACUGGAACUGAGACACGGUCCAGACUCCUACGGGAGGCAGCAGUGGGGAAUAUUGCACAAUGGGCGCAAGCCUGAUGCAGCCAUGCCGCGUGUAUGAAGAAGGCCUUCGGGUUGUAAAGUACUUUCAGCGGGGAGGAAGGGAGUAAAGUUAAUACCUUUGCUCAUUGACGUUAUCCGCAGAAGAAGCACCGGCUAACUCCGUGCCAGCAGCCGCGGUAAUACGGAGGGUGCAAGCGUUAAUCGGAAUUACUGGGCGUAAAGCGCACGCAGGCGGUUUGUUAAGUCAGAUGUGAAAUCCCCGGGCUCAACCUGGGAACUGCAUCUGAUACUGGCAAGCUUGAGUCUCGUAGAGGGGGGUAGAAUUCCAGGUGUAGCGGUGAAAUGCGUAGAGAUCUGGAGGAAUACCGGUGGCGAAGGCGGCCCCCUGGACGAAGACUGACGCUCAGGUGCGAAAGCGUGGGGAGCAAACAGGAUUAGAUACCCUGGUAGUCCACGCCGUAAACGAUGUCGACUUGGAGGUUGUGCCCUUGAGGCAUGGCUUCCGGAGCUAACGCGUUAAGUCGACCGCCUGGGGAGUACGGCCGCAAGGUUAAAACUCAAAUGAAUUGACGGGGGCCCGCACAAGCGGUGGAGCAUGUGGUUUAAUUCGAUGCAACGCGAAGAACCUUACCUGGUCUUGACAUCCACGGAAGUUUUCAGAGAUGAGAAUGUGCCUUCGGGAACCGUGAGACAGGUGCUGCAUGGCUGUCGUCAGCUCGUGUUGUGAAAUGUUGGGUUAAGUCCCGCAACGAGCGCAACCCUUAUCCUUUGUUGCCAGCGGUCCGGCCGGGAACUCAAAGGAGACUGCCAGUGAUAAACUGGAGGAAGGUGGGGAUGACGUCAAGUCAUCAUGGCCCUUACGACCAGGGCUACACACGUGCUACAAUGGCGCAUACAAAGAGAAGCGACCUCGCGAGAGCAAGCGGACCUCAUAAAGUGCGUCGUAGUCCGGAUUGGAGUCUGCAACUCGACUCCAUGAAGUCGGAAUCGCUAGUAAUCGUGGAUCAGAAUGCCACGGUGAAUACGUUCCCGGGCCUUGUACACACCGCCCGUCACACCAUGGGAGUGGGUUGCAAAAGAAGUAGGUAGCUUAACCUUCGGGAGGGCGCUUACCACUUUGUGAUUCAUGACUGGGGUGAAGUCGUAACAAGGUAACCGUAGGGGAACCUGCGGUUGGAUCACCUCCUUACCUUAAAGAAGC